rnacentral:rRNA from 1 species
UACAGGGGGGGCAAGCGUUGUUCGGAAUUACUGGGCGUAAAGGGCGCGUAGGCGGCGCGAUAAGUCGGGUGUGAAAGCCCGGGGCUCAACCCCGGAACGGCAUCCGAUACUGGCGGGCUUGAGACCGGGAGAGGAGGGUGGAAUACCCAGUGUAGAGGUGAAAUUCGUAGAUAUUGGGUGGAACACCGGUGGCGAAAGCGGCUCUCUGGCCCGGAUCUGACGCUGAGGCGCGAAAGCGUGGGGAGCAAACAGG